rnacentral:rRNA from 1 species
CCUACCAAGGCGAUGAUGCAUAGCCCGACGUUGAGAGACUGAUCGGGCCACAUUGGGGACUGAGACACGGGCCCAAAACUCCUACGGGGAGGGCAGCAGUAGGGAAUCUUCCACAAUGGACGCAAGUCUGAUGGAGCAACGCCGCGUGAGUGAAGAAGGGUUUCGGCUCGUAAAGCUCUGUUGUUGGUGAAGAAGGACAGGGUAGUAACUGACCUUUGUUUGACGGUAAUCAAUUAGAAGUCACGGCUAACUACGUGCCAGCAGCCGCGGUAAU